UGGGGCGUAGCCAAGCGGUAAGGCAUCGGUUUUUGGUACCGACAAUCCCAGGUUCGAAUCCUGGCGCCCCAGCCA
rnacentral:tRNA from 1 species